rnacentral:rRNA from 1 species
GGGGGAGGGAGAGGGGACUAACGGAGCGGUAAAGCGGAGAGCAGAAGCGUAGCGCGCGGGGCGGCGGCGGCGGCGGAGGAGGAGGGGGGUGCGGGCAGGUCGCGCCGCGCCGGCGCAACCCAGGACCGCGCUCAGGCACGCCGCCCCCACCAACCACCCGCCCCGGUCGACCGGAUCGCCAAGGAUCAGCGGCCUCAGCGUCGUCCUCCUCCUCUUGAGUAGUGGCAGCAGAGCGCCCACCGCCGCCCCUACAUGCACGGCGUCAGCAGGGCGCCGCCCCCGCCGAGGCGGCCCCUCGUCGGAUCCCAAAUGGUUCAGACCGCCCCUUCGUUGCUCAAAGAGAACGUUCCCGCCAAGUAUAAACCUGGACUACACUCUAGGAACAAAGAGUGAUAUAAGGAGUAGGAACGUGGUCACAACCAGAAGACAUAUAAACAACGGUCUGUAGACUACUUACUAAAAGGACUAGUGACCCCCUAAAGUCAAUACCAACAUCGCCAACAGAAGUGUCAUAUACUAAACUGCGACGACGAAGAAUGGAGACCAUCUCUAGGACCAUAUCAUGGAGCAUUGUACGUGGGGGGACUUGGACUUAGGGAACUACCCUUGUUACUAUGACCUUUACCAGUCUGAGGUGUUGUUAACGCGAAUGGUGCCUGUUUCCUACAAAUACAUUUACCUCAACAACAUUUCCAGUUCAUGACACUGUGGACGUACGACAUAGCCGGUGGAGCAACGAGAGUGACAAGAUAGACAUUGUUGACACACCUCGCAAAACUAGUAGUGACAGGAACCCAACCAGUUACGUAUCCUGACGCAUUAAUAGCGAAGAAGAUAUACAAACAGAAGAGCUGGUGUAACGAGACGGAGAUGCAUAAACCCAAGACGACCCACAUGUAUUAAUUCUAGUCUCUACGUCUUCCAAGUAGCUAAACCUCCCGUUACAACUUCUGUGGACGGAGUUACCAAGACUAGUAGAUGACAAAAUAAACACACACCAAACAACCACCAGAAAGACAGAAGGUAAAGAUGGACUACUCGUGGUUGGUCUGAUGGAUGCUCUUGAAGUCCAUAGCCAUGCUGGCCGCCCGAUUGGGCAUAUUGCAUCCACACCACUUGUUGAAAGACCUCUAGAAGACGUGACGACAGGGGCGAAGGUUCUUGUUAAAGGCUCGAUCCCAGGGUCAUCUCGUUCCAAAUGUCGUUAGUGCGGGUGGUUGGUCCCCAAAGUACUCGGGUUUGUACCCGUUUGGACAACCUCUGGAACUUAACCCGUCCUUCGGUCAUAGUACCCUGCUUGGAGCCAGUCCUCGACUAUAUUCUCUAAAUCUUCAACCCCCGUACAACCUACUCUUUCUCCCGUCUUAUUGGGUACGCAGUGGCCUAGAGUCGUCUCUUCGGGAAGGUCAACUCGAGUACCUUCCAUCCCGACCGUACGUAAGCUCUGCUAGUUCGACCCCAGUGUCUUCACCCUGGAGUCUCAGCUACCUGUCGUAGCGGCACGUCUACCCUCCACCUCUUUGAUUGACCCCGAGCCAGUCGUCACCGGUGCCGUGUUGGUCACCUUGAGUGAUCGUUUGGCGUGCGGCGAAAGACUGCGGCGUGAUCCAGACUAGAGUUGUUCCUUGCUGGGACAGACUAGAGGUUUUACUUCUUGGCCGGAAAGACUCAUAGGACACUCGAACACGGAAAGUGGAUCCUAUAUCUAUACGGUUACGAAAGAAUGGACACAGACAAAGUAGAACUUCCCGUAGUAAGGAAAACUACACGAAGAGUAAACCACAAAAUUCAUUCGUUUUUUUUUAGUCUUCUCUAAUUUGAGGACGACGCACCGAACCUAACAGAAUAGACACACAUAUAUAAAUAAUAACCUUGUCAGACAUUCUUUCACACGAGACAUACUAAACGACGAACAUUAUAAGAAUCGACACUUUAGUACAAAAUAUUUACAUGA